UACGGAGGGGGCUAGCGUUGUUCGGAAUCACUGGGCGUAAAGCGUGCGUAGGCGGUGACUCAAGUCAGAGGUGAAAGCCUGGAGCUCAACUCCAGAACUGCCUUUGAAACUAGGUCGCUAGAAUGUCGGAGAGGUGAGUGGAAUUCCGAGUGUAGAGGUGAAAUUCGUAGAUAUUCGGAAGAACACCAGUGGCGAAGGCGGCUCACUGGACGACUAUUGACGCUGAGGCACGAAAGCGUGGGGAGCAAACAGG
rnacentral:rRNA from 1 species